CAUGGAGAUGGAAUGAUCUGAACCUGGAAUCCUAUGUCAGAACAGACUUGAAAGACUACAAUUUGGCACAAAAUAGAAUCUUAUAAAAGUGGUACUGUCUUCAUUUUCAUAUUUAAUUGCACGGGAGUGGAGAAAAUAUUUGUAGGGAUAGGCACUGUGGUUUUCUGUCAUAUUUAUUCAUUUUUAAUGAGGUAAAUUUUGUUUCACGUUCACUUCCAUAAUGAGUCUCAUAAACAUAGCUUUCGGGUAACAGUUGAAACCCGCAAGGUUUAAUUUACUUUUCUGCUAUAAAAAUGUUUAAGUUUGGUGUUAUUUACCUUUUCUUCUUCAGUAGAAAGGCUCGCACUUGCCAUUUCAUUGAAGCGGAAG
rnacentral:lncRNA from 1 species